UGGAUCCAGACUUUGAUUAUGGCUCAGGAUGAACGCUGGCGGCAUGCCUAAUACAUGCAAGUCGAACGAGAGGAAGGAAGGCUCGCUUUCCUGAAUCUAGUGGCGAACGGGUGAGUAACACGUAGGUAACCUGCCCAUGUGCCCGGGAUAACUUCUGGAAACGGAUGCUAAAACCGGAUAGGUAGCAGACAAGCAUUUGACUGCUAUUAAAGUGGCCUUGGCCAUGAACAUGGAUGGACCUGCGGUGCAUUAGCUAGUUGGUGAGGUAACGGCCCACCAAGGCGACGAUGCAUAGCCGGCCUGAGAGGGCGGACGGCCACAUUGGGACUGGGACACGGCCCAAACUCCUACGGGAGGCAGCAGUAGGGAAUUUUCGUCAAUGGGGGGAACCCUGAACGAGCAAUGCCGCGUGAGUGAGGAAGGUCUUCGGAUCGUAAAGCUCUGUUGUAAGAGAAAAACGGCACUCAUAGGGAAUGAUGAGUGAGUGAUGGUAUCUUACCAGAAAGUCACGGCUAACUACGUGCCAGCAGCCGCGGUAAUACGUAGGUGGCGAGCGUUAUCCGGAAUGAUUGGGCGUAAAGGGUGCGUAGGUGGCAGAUCAAGUCUGGAGUAAAAGGUAUGGGCUCAACCCGUACUGGCUCUGGAAACUGGUCAGCUAGAGAACAGAAGAGGACGGCGGAACUCCAUGUGUAGCGGUAAAAUGCGUAGAUAUAUGGAAGAACACCGGUGGCGAAGGCGGCCGUCUGGUCUGGAUUCUGACACUGAAGCACGAAAGCGUGGGGAGCAAAUAGGAUUAGAUACCCUAGUAGUCCACGCCGUAAACGAUGAGAACUAGGUGUUGGGGGAAUAACUCAGUGCCGCAGUUAACGCAGUAAGUUCUCCGCCUGGGGAGUAUGCACGCAAGUGUGCAACUCAAAUGAAUUGACGGA
rnacentral:rRNA from 2 species